AUAAUCCACUAGCUAUGACUCAAGACAGCAGGCGCACUUGUGCUUAAUUUCCUGCCGAGGUCUCGCGAAGGAUAAUUCUGUAUAUAUGACAGUUAUUAUGGCUUCCGGACUUGCUUGGGUUCGGAGGCCAUUUUUAUGGCGGC
rfam:Cloacibacillus evryensis DSM 19522 genomic scaffold CloevDRAFT_Scaffold1.1, whole genome shotgun sequence.